CGUAAGUAGUCUGUGUAAAAACAUGAUUCUCUUUUUGAGGCGGCUCUGGUCUUUUAUUCUCUUCCUACGUCCCAGGAUUACGUAAAAAUUGUUUUUCUUAUUUUUCUCCAGGCGGUUGGAGCAGGUGCUCCACAAAAGGACUUAUUCGGGAGCACCUGCUCCUGACGAAGAAUGGUCCAACUUCAUGUAAAUUGGCAUCUUUUGCUCAGGUUCAACUCCUUUUUGCACCAAAAGCUCCAGCUGCUCCAAUCCUCGCCUAAAGCUCCCUAGAUACCUGAAUCAACCUGAAAAAGACUCCAAAGAUUCCAAAAACGAUCAGUAAACACAUGUUAGAAUGAGUCAAAAUCUCCACUUAUCCAACAAUUGACUCUUUCUCGGCCCAUUAAUAGACUUUAUUGGUACAGAUGGGCUUAGGAAGCUUAGUCUCCCUAUUGACUGUGGUGUAUGUGCAGCAGCAAAAUAUAAUCACGGAUGGAAGCUUCCUUCUACCAGAACCAGGAACUUGGCAAUAAACACUCUUAGAGACUCUCUCCUAGUCACACUACCUCCCCAUACUUCAAGAGCACAUGAUAAAUACUCUCGGGGUGUGGAGAGUUUUCGGUUGACUUGCUUCUCUAAUAAGAAAGCCUGGGAUUUUUUUGAGACCCUCGGCCCAACCAGUAAUGUGGUUCAAAGCAGUGUGGUCAAAUACACAGUUCCGAGUCAUGCUUUCAACUUCUGGAUGGCUCAAAGGGAUAAACUACCCACUCGCUCUCGCCUUGUAUCCGGAGCAUCCCCAACAUGUGUUUUUUUUUUCCCCAACAUGUGUUUUCUCUGUAACUCCAACUUGGAAACCAGAGACCAUCAGCUCCUUCAUUGUAUCUUCUCUGACCAGGUAUGGCGGCUUCUUCUCUCCCGGUUGAGCUUCCCAAAUCUCCACUUUGUAGACUGGCAGAUCCUUAUUGGCUGGAUGAUUGCUCACUCUCAAAGUACCUCAAGAACUCUUAAGUGUAUUGCUGCCCAGGCAACGAUUUAUUUUCUGUGGAAGAAAAGAUUAUAAGGUUCCAUACCAGCUCUUCUCUCUCUGCUGAAGUGGUUUUCAGACAGAUAGACCGUUCGAUAUGUGAUACUCUCCUUGCUCGUCUCUCCCGGAAGCGAUGCCAAGGCCUUUUAUCUUUAUGGUUUACCCAUGCGGCCAUGAUAAUGCUGAUUCAACUGCAUAUGGUGUAAUACCAGUUUCCGGGCAUUUUUCUCCUAGGUUUUCUUUCAGACCAUCAUCAGCUAUAGUUUUUUUUAGGAGUUUAGCUCGGUAUUUUUUUUUUUUAAACGUUAGGCUUAUAUUGUCUCUUUUGAGUUUCUAGAGUUUUGAUAUGUAUAGUAUUGGCUCUAUGCUCAUGCUCAUAUAUAGUUUCACAUCCUGCCUUUAUAGUUUUUUGGGGGUCCUGAAGCUAUCUAUUUCAAAGCGUUGUAAUUAAACUGAUGUUCCUUUUUUGUACUAUAUUCACAUUUUAUUCCCAAAAAAAAAAAAUUAUUGGCACGUGCUAAAAUUUACCUCUUUUGUCACAUGGUUCACCAUCACAUGUGAUUAAUCACAAACUUUUUUAUAAAAGUUAAAAAUCUUAAUUUUUCAGUUUCUCAAAUGUAUAGAAAUUUCUUCAAAUCACCCAAAAACUUGUAACAAUAUUUUUGGAAAAAUUGCUCAAACCUCAAAUACCUUUCAAAAAGUUAAAUACACAAGAAAUCAAAUCUCAUGUUUUUAGAUAAAGUUUCAUAUAAUUUUAAUCUCAAAAUCUUAGGUGUUUGAUGCUCUGUUUGUUAAGUUUUUUGCUUUCCUUGUACUGGCAUCUCAUUCUCUUUUUAUUUAUUUAAUGGAAAUCUCAAAUGUUAUAAAAAAUAAUAAUAAGAAGUUAUCUAGUUCCCUCUAAAAUAAUUUUAGUGGAGUGUAUUCAAUCUAAUAUUUGAGAAGAUUUCGAAUGGUUGAAGUUUUGAAUGCUGCUAGGGUUGAUGUCGCAGGAAAAUUUUUAAGUUUGUAAACUUUAGUAUUUACAAGUGCACAGCAGUGCAAUGCAGUACUAAGGUGUCUAUCCACAGGGAGAGUUUUUUUUCUGCAAAAACUUGAAACUGGGUUAGUAAUCGAUUUCAAAGACCAAAAGGGAUUUUUGUGGGGGUUUUUGUGUCACGAUUUCUACUAAGCUAAGCAAGAAAUAAAACUAAAAGCAAAUAGAUAAAAAAAAUAGAUAAAUCGCUGGGUAUUAGGGUUUCUCUCUAGGAUUCAUGAUCUGUAACUUAAGGUAUUUAGAUAAGGAUUUUCUAUGACUCUGGAACUAUAAUAGACACUUGUGAGAUUAGCCAACUCUCGUCACUCUAAUCAUCUAAUCACUCUAACUCGAAAAGUAGCUUUUGUCUCUUGUCGCGAGAGAGAUCAUGCAAUAUUGAUUGGAAUUCAUCUCGGCUCACGCCCCCUCCGUAGAUAACUUUCAUCUCCUACGACGAUUACGUCCAUAAGAUCAAGUUCAGGAAAUCUGAUACAUCACUCUCGUGGCUCUGAUUAAACCUUAGAUCAGAUGUUAGGUCGUGACCCCUGCAUACAUCAUUAAGUAUGGGAUGAAUGGGAGAGUCAUCUAAAAACGAAUUAAUCUAAGAAACCUAGAUGUUUUCGAUCAUGGGGUCCCUUUCGAUGGUCCCUUUACCCAACAAGAUAACUACCCCGACAUAGCUCAGCUUAACAUCAUCAUUGGUUUUGAAAUAGAAAAGCAGUAAAUUAAAAGAGAUAGCAUAACUGAAUAGAUAGAUGAAAAAAAAGAACAAUGGUUCAAGAGAAGAAUCUCUAUUUUCCUAAUGUAAACCUAAGAAAAAAAGUUUGGUUGCUCCUAAACUAGGACACUGGAGCACAUACGAAAUUAGGUCUUAUAAAAUAUAUAUUUAUAGGUCUUCAAGUCUAUUUGGUUGUCCUUAGGGCUUUCUGUGAAGAGAGAAUGAGUUGGGCUUGAAAAUCGGCCUUAGAGCCGAUAAUGGGCUUGCCGCGGAUGAAAGCUCUCCGGGAAUGCUAAAUGAUGGUUCCACCGCAGGUGGAGGCGUGACCAAGAGCUUGUUUACCGCGGUCACGACCUCCUUGAACCAUGGUGGUUGGCCUAUGAGGUCAAAACUUCAAUCCUUCUCUUGCUUCUUUCGCGAGACUGCAUAACAUGUCUUAAGUAAAUUGGAGAUAUCUAAUUAUCUAACCGUUGGAUUGCAUCCACAAAAAAAAAACCCCACAAAAAUCCCCUAUAUCCCCUUUGGCCGGUUGUCUCCUAUAUCUUUUUUACAAAUUUGAGCUUGAUCAGACGGUAAGAAGGUCUUCAUUGGGUGUGAAACUUCUGACGGACAUAAAUUGGCCAAAAGUGGAUUUUUCUCAAAUUUGCAUUGUUUUUGUCUAAAUAACCUGAAAAUAGUCUUGAAACUAAAAAUAGGAAAAAAAAAGAAAAAAAAAACACUUAAAACUAAUUAAAACCUUUGAAAUAGCAUAAGAAAACACUAAUGAAAAUGGGUAUAAAAUACGGUGUCAUUCUUAUAAAAUUCUAUCAAAUCUCACCUAAAACCAUGAGAUUUAAAAGACUUUUUGAAAAUCAUGUUUGAAUAACAUAGGAUUUCAAGUUUAAUAUAAAUCAUUCCAAAUAUUAAACUCACUAACAACUCAAAACCUUCCAAAUCUUUCCAAUUAUUAAAUUUAGAAUACACCAGAUAUUGAAUUAAAAGAAAAAAAUAUGUACCAGUUUUCUUAAUUAAAAACUUGCUUGGGGUUAGGCUUUCAAGACUUUUAAGUAUCUAACAGUUUUCAAAGUCUUUUUUUUCCCAUACUUUUUUAUUUUUUUUAUAAAUAUAAAGUCUCAAAAACCACACUUUUAAUUUUUUGUCAUGGGUUUUAAAAGUUACGUAUGAGAAAUUUUAACAAAAAAAAUAUAAAUACAUUUUUUUCUAUCUUUCUUCUUCCUCAUAUAUUAUUAAAAAUUCUUUGUAGAUCUAUAUAUAGUUAAUUCUUAAGAAAAUUUAAUUGAUUAAUUGUUAACAACAUUCUGUUUUUUUUUUUAGAUCCAUUUCUUAAAACUUUUUUGACUAAAAUGUUUUCAGAAAUAUCUAAAACUCUUUGUUAAAUCCAGCCUUUGAAAAGAAAAAAUUACCUGCAAUUUUUAAAGUAAUAGUCAGUUUCUACAGUAAAGGUUUUUUAAAAUCAUAAGUAAAAGCCAACAAUUCUUACCAAGUAAGCCUUUAGUUUUAAAAUUAAAAAAAAAAAACUCGUACCUACAAGAACUUGUAUAAGUAUAAGAUAAUGGUUUGUACUAAGAUUGAUGCUGUAUCAUAAUAUAAAUUCAAAUUCUGAUAAGAAACUUUUACCUUGCCUGGAAAAGCCUUUGAGAGGCGCAAACUCUCCCAACAAAAAACCCUAGCCGCCAACCUUAAGACUCAUCUUUUGUCGCCUCUCUGGUUCGGCGUUCUCCGUCAUAGCCGUGAGGGGCGACUCCCCAUAAAGUAAGCAGGUGCUCUUCAGAUGUGGUAGUGGGAAGCAAAUCUGAGAUCGGACGCUCCUCUCUUCUUAGGUGUGGAGGAGUCGCCCUGGUGAGGCGGAGUGGUAGUAUGGGCAUCAGAGGUUGCUGGAUCUCACCGGAUUAGGAUCCGAUGGAGGACUGCGGAGGCGAAUCACGGAGGGACAGUAAACGGCCAGCUUUGGCUUUGAGGUUCAUCGAGCUGCUCCGCCGCGUGACGUCCGAGGACACUCACUGUUGCCAAACCGCUUCACGUUUAGGGUUUUCGACCAGUUCAACCAGUUCUUUGUUCGAUUUUAUUUUUGUAAACCAUUGUCAAAUUCCUGGUUUGGGUUGAUCAAUAAAAUAUAUUUAAAAAAAAAUUUAAUUCUGAUAGUGUGCACUAUGCGAUACGUGAAGUAUAGUUAAAAAUUAACUUACAAAAUUGUAACAUCUGGGAUAUCUAUAUCAGCAAAGAUUUUUGUCCCCACUAAAAUUUUUUUCUAGCUUCGCCACUGUUGAAGUGUAUCUGUUCUCCAUUGUUACGCUGGGACGCCAUCCCCGAUCUCCUUCUCCAUGAACAAUGUGAUCUUUGUAGUGUCCAUUCUGUCUGAUGGGUUGUUGGUUUGCUGGAACUAACCCCACACAAAGUCUGUAGCCGAGCUCAGUGACUCUCUGCCGUAGUUUUCAAUAUUGUUGACGACUAUAAAGUCAACUGCGGUAACCAGUGAGACCGUGAGCAUAAGAGAGAUUACAAGGAAGAAUUCGUGAGAAGUCAGCUUUAUUUGAUUUUUAUUUAAUUACAAGAUUAUUUGUGUGCAUGUGUGCUACGGCUUGUAUUUUGGGAGCUUUAUAUAGAGAAAAAAUAUGUAUUUAUAAAAAUGGAAACAAUGAAAAAUAAUCGAGGUUUUGGUCAGUCAAACUUUUCUUCGGUAUUGUUAAGUCUCAGAGGCCCAAAGACGUCGACUUUCUCGGGCUUAAGACACAACAAACCAAGAUUCAGGUGUAAGAUAUAAAGACCAAAGAUGAGGAGGACCAAAUACAGAGUAAGAACAGGGAUAUGAGGGAAGAACUGAGAUUUCUGCAGAGAAGAAAGAUAAGAACAUAAAGACAAGAGCACACACCAAGAUUUAACGAGUUCACGGUAUUAACCAACCGCUACGUCUUGCCGAGACAUGCUUCGGAAUCCACUAGAUAAAGAGAAUAGCCUUUUACAACAAGAUUAAACAAGAGAUCCGCCUAAUGUCCUUCACUAGCACUUACACACUCUUCGAAUAAAUCUUGUAAAGAGAAAACAACACUCAAGCUUAUGCUAACAUGUUUUCUCUCAGCUAUGAAACUCUCUUCACUCACUCAAGUCUUUUCUUACAUCU
rnacentral:lncRNA from 1 species